GCCCUACCCUCGCCGCCUAAGCCUGCCCUCCGCCAGACGGGUCCCCUCCCCGCGGCACCACGGCUUCCCUUCAACAGCAAGGCGACGGGGGCUUCCCCUCAGCAGCCGCCGGCGCCUCAGUCUCCGCAGCCGGCCAAGCUCCGCCGCGCCCGCGGCCCGCGGCCGCCAUGCAGUUUAUGUUGCUUUUUAGUCGUCAGGGAAAGCUGAGGCUGCAGAAAUGGUAUGUCCCGCUGUCAGACAAAGAGAAGAAGAAGAUCACAAGAGAACUUGUUCAAACCGUUUUAGCACGGAAACCUAAAAUGUGCAGCUUCCUUGAGUGGAGAGAUCUGAAAAUUGUUUAUAAAAGAUAUGCCAGUCUAUAUUUUUGCUGUGCUAUUGAGGAUCAGGACAAUGAACUGAUUACCCUGGAAAUAAUCCAUCGUUACGUGGAAUUACUUGACAAGUAUUUUGGCAGUGUGUGUGAACUUGAUAUCAUCUUUAAUUUUGAGAAGGCCUAUUUUAUUUUGGAUGAAUUUCUUUUGGGAGGAGAAGUUCAGGAAACAUCCAAGAAAAAUGUCCUUAAAGCAAUUGAGCAGGCUGAUCUCUUGCAGGAGAGCCAGAAUGAAGAAUGGGGAGGUUUGUCUGAGGAUAUCUUAUGAUAAAGAACAGUCUAAGACUUUAGUUCCUUUGACCCCCAACUUAUUUAUUGGAAGCUGAAACCCCACGUAGUGUUCUUGAAGAAAUUGGACUGACAUAACUGUCCUCCCUUGCUGAUGACUUCUUGUGGCAUUUCACACACUGUAGAUGGUCACUGCCUCUCAUGUCCAUGUUAGCUAAUGGUGUAAGAUGAUGUCUUGUCAGUAUUACUGUUUUGCUAAGCUGCUUCAUUCAGGCCUACACAAUUUUUUUAAGGGAACUUUGGUUAAUCAAAUAACUUAAGGGACACAAAUAUGAGUUAGAAAGAUGUAGAAAAAUUAACAUACCAUUUCUGGACAUUUUAAAAUUAAAGGUCAGUCUCAUAAUUAUGUGCACAUAUAAAAAUAAUGUCUAUAUACAUAUAUAUAUAUAUCUCAAACAAUUUGGCAAAAUACAUUUACUUCUGUACGUGAGAAAGGAAACUUAAAUUAUGUGAAACCUGGUUUGAUAAAACCAAAGACAACAGUAAUAUUUCAGUAUAUAUAAGAAUAAAGGGAACUGACACAUUACAGAUCAAAUCAAUGAAAGUUUAUUGAAAAUUUAAACCAAAUUUAUACCAAAGACCCUUAUUGGAUAUAACAUACAUUAAAACAAAGGGAAUAUAGAUACUUUUAGAGGACUAACUUAGAAUGAUGCUGUUUUACACCAAAAUUCAUUAAGUAUUCUGAAUUAGUGGGACAAGGAACAAAGACUUUCCUAUUCUUGAGCACAUAAUUUUUAAGGCCAAGGAACAUUUGACUCCCCAAGGUGAAGUUUUAGUGGUCAUAAUCAUGUAGUUACUUGUUUUCAGUGCCCCAAAAUAAAGUAGGACUGUUAUUUACUAGAUAUUCUUCGUAACCGUAUGUUGCUCUCUUCACAAAGUGUUACAUAAAGUCAUUAUCUACAGCAUGAACGUUCCUUCUGGGAUGCUUGUUAAAGCCAAAUUUAUUUUGCUUCCCUAUUGCUUCCUUCCAGUUAGAAGUGCUACAGACUUGACAGCAGCUCCCUUUCCUUUCAUGUCACUACCUAGUCGUCUGAAGUCUUAUGAAAAUUUAAAAGAUAACUUUCGUAUAGCAAAGUGAGAGUUGACUGAAGCAAAUGGCAUUGGUUGGCCCUAUAUUUUUUCAAGCUAUAUAAAUGCUCGGCAUCACUUUUUACAUAUUAAUACAUACCUGAACACAUCUCCCUGAUUUCUACGUUCCCUUGUUAAUGCUAGGCUGGAGUACGCUUUGCUGUGAUUGUGAACAACUUUCAAGCCACCUGAACACUGUCUUAUCACUUCACCAAUUAAUGGUAAUAAAUGUUUUGCAAACA